rnacentral:tRNA from 1 species
AGGGGUGGUUCAACCAACAAGAACUGCUAAUUCUUGUAUCUGGGCUUAAAAUCUCAGCCCCCUU